AUGCUUCUGCCUUGGCAUCCCGAAGUGUUGGGAUUAUAGGCAUGAGCCACCGCAUCUAGCCUUGAAUGAAUUGGUUAGCAUUGAUUAGAGAAUCAUGCUAAUGAAGAUAAGGUCAUGAAGUCAGUCCCCUUGUGGAUGAGUCAGCACUAUAGUCACAAGAGAGGUAAGAUGAACCAACACUACUUCUAGAAAAAAGUUCAAACUCUGAGAGUGAAUCCGAAAAAUCAUCAUGAAGUAGGCACAUCUGUGGCUUUCUUUACAGUCUCACCAAAUAAGCUCUGAUGCACAAAUGUUCUCGG
rnacentral:lncRNA from 1 species